AUGUGUGGGGUUUGGUUUUGAUCGAUUUUGAGGGAGCUGGGUGGGUGUUACUGUAUGCAUAUGAAAUAUUGGCAUACUUGCUGAUGAUUGUUGUAGGUUGCCCUAUAAUUCUUCCUCGAGAAAAUGAGUCAGUGCUUUUGGGUGCUUCCAUUCUCGGUGAAGUUGCUGCAAAGAAGUUUUCAAGCCUGAAUAAGGCCAUGAAGGCAAUGAAUGCAGCUGGUCAGGGAUCCCCAUCCAUAGGUCUGAGAUCCACAUCUAUGAAUUGAGGAUUGUUGGCCCUUUUUUUAAUUUUAAUUUUCAUAGAUUUGCUUUUGUUUCCUGCGCGGUUGGUAUCAAGACCAUUAAUAAUACAUGGUUUGCACAAUUGUAUCUUGGUUUUUCCAUAAAGGAUAAGUGUGGAGUCAAUAAGUUUUGUAAUAAUUUUGUAAUAUUUCAGCUUCCAAUACAAAUCAGUUGGAAUUCCUGAAAAGUCGUUCAAGGAAUUCAGUCAUUAUAUAAAUCUUAGUUGUAAUCUCAUAUUACCACCAUUUUAAGGUAAUCACAUUACCUAAUCCAAUAUGUGAUCUUAUCGCUCUGUUGCGAA